UAGUGAGCAUACUAUAUCAAUGUUUUUUCAAAUGUUUCUUCAGAUUAGUCGAUGAUUUAUAACUCAGUUUUUGUUUACACAAAUUACAAUUAGCAAACUCAUUAUUUUCCGUGAAAAAAUUCCACACAAAUAAAGUCUUUUUCGUGCACUUAUCCAUUCCUUAUUUCACUAUAAAGAUACUAACUACAAAGCAUGACAGCCCGCAACAUGGUGAUACACGGCCAGGACGAACUGCCAGGGGGAGUUCACUGGAAUAGGGAAUGCCUGACCCAAACGAGCUUAUUUUCACGGCCACAUGAGCGCCCUAGUCGAAUUUUUUUUCUUAGUUUACAUCCAAUCACAAGAAAGGAGGAUGACUCGCCAAGGCGCCAUAUUGUUUUUUGUCAUGCUUGCUUGCUUGUUUGAACAAAUAUUGUAAUAAUUUUUAUAUUAUAUACGAGUUUUGUUUAAUAAUGUAGGUGUUUAGAAUAUUUUGUCAUCAUGUCAAAUAAGUGUUGCGUUCCGGGUUGUGAAUACGUGCGUAGUAGCGUAAGGCAUCGUUUCUCCGUAUAUGAAGAAAGCGAUUUUAACAUGGGUAACCCUUAUAGCCAACCCGAAAUUUUAAAAAUUAGAUGACCAGAAGAUCUAUAGGGAUUUCUUCGUAUGUGAUGCACACUUUGCUGCCGUAGCCCUGGAACGAAGAAGUUAAAUAGAGGUUCUUUGCCUACACCUGGUUUGCCUGAAUUUGUGGGAGGAGCCAGUUCUUCACUUGAUCAAAAGCAUAAUGGAUUGCAGAAUAGCAGCAACCAUUUUAUUGUGUCACAGAGGAUAGUACCUUGCUGUGCACACUUAGUUUAUCUGCAAAUGUUGAACAGAAAGAAUGUGUUGAAACCAGUAGUGAUCAUCUGCAUGCUGCAGAUGUAUACAUUACACCAGACAGAGGGUUAAGAAGAAAAAUUUGUGAUGUCGAAGGACCUGUUUCACAACCAGGUACAACUAGAAACAAACCUGCAAAUGCUAGUAAAGAUUGUGUAACACCACCUCGGCAGAGACCAAGUGUAAAUUGUACCACUCCUGCUAAGAAGUUAAGAAAGGGAGUUUUUUCAUCAUCAGUGAGAAAACACAGUGACUUCCUGAGGCAAGUUUGGCUGAAUCGUGCAAAAGAUUUGACUCCAAAGGCACGUCAUUUGUACAAGGUCGCCACCAAAAUGCAGAGAAGGGUUGGAGUAUUGUCAAGAAGAUGUCUGUCAUUUAAAGGACGCCUUUCAUCUGCUCAGAAAUUUGUGGAUUUACCUGCUUGCAAAAAUAAUUUCAUCAACUUGAACAGACAUUGGCAUUCAUUGAAUCUCAAAUAAGAAACACAAGUAUUGAAACAAAUUACGUAGUAAAAUUGUUGCUAACUUAAAGAUUGAAUGUACAGUAUGUACUAGUUUAUAGUUUAAACUGUGUUAUUAUAAAUGAGUAACACAAAAAAUGUUAUUAACACACA